rnacentral:rRNA from 1 species
UACAGAGGGUGCAAGCGUUAAUCGGAAUUACUGGGCGUAAAGCGUGCGUAGACGGUUAUGUAAGUCAGAUGUGAAAGCCCCGGGCUCAACCUGGGAAUUGCAUUUGAGACUGUGUAGCUAGGGUGCGGAAGAGGGAAGCGGAAUUUUCGGUGUAGCGGUGAAAUGCGCAGAUAUCAGGAGGAACACCAGUGGCGAAGGCGCCGCUCUGGGCCGUAACUGACGCUGAGAAGCGAAAGCGUGGGGAGCAAACAGG